rnacentral:rRNA from 1 species
GACAGAGGGUGCAAACGUUGCUCGGAAUUACUGGGCGUAAAGCGCGUGUAGGUGGCUUGUUAAGUCGGGUGUGAAAUCCCUCGGCUCAACCGAGGAAGUGCAUUCGAUACUGGCAAGCUCGAGUACCGGAGAGGGUCGUGGAAUUCCUGGUGUAGAGGUGAAAUGCGCAGAUAUCAGGAGGAACACCAAUUGCGAAGGCAGCUCGCUGGGACGUUACUGACGCUGAGACGCGAAAGCGUGGGGAGCAAACAGG